rnacentral:rRNA from 1 species
UACAGAGGUCUCAAGCGUUGUUCGGAAUCACUGGGCGUAAAGGGUGCGUAGGCGGCGGGGAAAGUCAGAUGUGAAAUCCGGAGGCUCAACCUCCGAAUUGCAUCCGAUACUCCCUCGCUAGAGAUUUGUAGAGGAGCUUGGAAUUCUCGGUGUAGCAGUGAAAUGCGUAGAUAUCGAGAAGAACGCUCGCAGCGAAAGCGAAGCUCUGGGCAAAUUCCGACGCUGAUGCACGAAGGCUAGGGGAGCAAACGGG